rnacentral:lncRNA from 1 species
UGGAAUACAAGGCCAUGGAUGACAGUAUAAUAAAAGAAGGUUUGCUUUUUAACCAUCUAAUCGUCCUGCUCCUAUGCUUAUGUUCACCUAUGUCAUCAGAAUUUCUAUGAGAAACGACAAUUGUAUUUUAAGUGGUUUAAGCUGUAAAGUAGUGGCAUCAAAGCUGGGAGCUGUAUUCCAAUCAAAUGCGGUUGUUGUGGUUAUUGAACCAGAGCCAGUAGGCGCAGUCACUGAAGUCGAACCGAAAGGUGAAGUAUUUACCUAGCACAUAUUUUCCUUUUAAUUUCUUUCGAUGAAAAUGAACCUUAAAAGUUUGAGCACGAGCACAGAGAUGCAGCAAUCAUCUGAGAAGAGGCAAAGGUAGUUCGGCGAGAGAUUGGUAGCUUGACAUACAAUACAAAUACAAAG